GCUGGGCGUGGUGGCUCAUGCCUGUAAUCCCAGCACUUUGGGAGGCUGAGGUGGGUGGAUCACCUGAGGUCAGGAGUUCAAGAUCAGCCUGACCAAUAUGGUGAAACCCUGUCUCUA
rnacentral:SRP_RNA from 2 species